CCUAAAAAUGCAAGGUUCCAGCCUCCUCAUGCUCGUGCUUGUGCUUGUGCAGAUAAGGAGAAGAGGUUUGGUGACACUCCGUUUCAUGUCUUUAGUUGGAUUAGGGUUGAAGAUUCUAGGUUCUGUUUACGGGAGUUCAUGAUUUUAAUGGUUUCUAGCUUCUGUUAAAUAUUUGUGCUACAACGCUUGUAUAUACACAUAUCAUGAUCACAUAAAUAGAAUUUUUCAUAUAUUGGAAUCUGUCCAUUUCCUUGUGUGGAAGAACAAGCAAACACAUUUUUUCCUUUUUAGCCUUGCAUGAGUAUUUGUUCAAACCGAAUGCCUGCAUUAUGUGUUAAUACCUAUGCUGCAGUAUAUUUCAACUUUGUACACCUUGUCCCGGUUAUGCUGCACUUUGUUGUGCUAUUGUCCGCAUCUACGUAUUUGUAUCAUUUUUUACUGGAAAUUGCAUUUCAUUUAGUUUGAAUCUUUUAGAACAUUUUGUAUUUUGCAAGUUUAUCUUGGUAGAUUAACCAUGUGUUGUGUCUCUUGUAACUAUAACUCGCUUCUCUACGUACUGAAAAGAUAUGCUAAGCUUCUGUACGUUUGGUUGCAACAGCUCCAUGGGUGAGCUGAUGUGGGAGACGGAGAGGUUGAGCCGGAGGAGCUGCGCAGCUUGCCUGCCUGUGGCGACCACAUGCAGCAGUGCUAUCUUGCCGGCGACGACGGCCAGCAACGCCGCUACACCGUGCGCCCUCCUGCUCAGGCCUUCCCGCCACCCUGACUGAGAGGGCACCCCUGCCCCAGCCUAUAGCUGCAGGACGACACAAGGCAGCAGCAGCUGCUGCUGUAUGUGUUCAUUGAUGGGCUUCUGCCAUUUGGAGUCGCUGGAGAUGCUGAUUAAAACCUGUGGAGAUUUUGUUCAGAUGCAUGUUGCCGAGAGGGAUAUACUCCAUGAAAUGGUGAAGAUAGUUAAGAAAAAGCCUUGAUUAUCCUGUAAAAGAGAAGAUACCCAGUCUGAUAGGCGCAUGGCAAGAAGCUUUUGGUGGUGCCCGUGCAAGAUAUCCACAAUAUUAUGCGGCAUAUGAAGAGCUUAUUGUUGGAGCAAAAUAGAUUCAGAAUGGCGUGUGAUCGCUCCCGCCGAGAGUGGCUCGCCGUGGCGCAGGGAUGGCGUCGGGAGGCACGGUGGAACGAGCCUGUGGCCGCUUGACCAAGCUGCUGCUGUAGGCGGUCCAGCUGGAGCUUCUGCCUGGGCGACCUCGCGCCCAAGCUGCUGCCGCCAGCCAUGUCCCUAAGGUGCUGCUGCUUCUGGCCACCAAUCCGAGCUGCUACUGCCUGUGAGAGUAUCUCAGCCAUGCAAGCUUAAAGGUUCACCAAGUUUAGCGGAAAAAAGACCUUAUUGACAAAGACAUGGCAAUUCGCAAGUAUGGUUGUAUAGUGAAGGAUAAUGGGAGGUUCUGUGCUUGGAGGUGUACCUAUACUUGACUAACUGAAGUAGUGAAGUGUAACUGGGGCAACUCCAUCUGUUCCGCCAUCCGGCGUCUGCGACACCUUUGACUCCAUCUCCAUCCGUAACACCCGGAGGAACCCAAGCAGAAGCGGCAGCAGGCAUGAAGCAUAUCAUGUACAAGGAGCCUAUGUGUUAUGUGCAUUGUGUGUCGAAUAUAUCAUGAAUUUUCGUGGUUAUUCUUCCUGUGGCUUGGGCUAUGUAUGUAUUGUGUGUGCUUUAUGCUUGUGUGAGAGCAGCCCACCAUUGAUGUAGCCGGUACAGAUAACAUGUGUGUGUGAACUCAAUGGUUCUUUUUUUGUUGAAUGAAAGCUAUAGUAUGUACCUUUGUAUAAACUCAAUCAGAUAGCAUGUACUCCGUCUUAUUUGGUUCAAACCAUUCUCUCUCUAGCUGGUGUAAACAAUGUAUUCCUUAAGUCGGGAACAAGUUUUAUGAGUAGGAAAAGGGUUGGAUUUUAACCGUUGGACAAUUUUUUUGGC